rnacentral:rRNA from 1 species
GAUGAACGCUAGCGGCAGGCUUAACACAUGCAAGUCGAGGGGCAGCAUGAGACGGAGAUUCGUCGAAGUCUUGAUGGCGACCGGCGCAAGGGUGCGUAACGCGUGAGCAACUUGCCCGUUUCAGGGGGAUAACCGGUGGAAACGCCGACUAAUACCCCAUAGCAUCAACUUUAGGCAUCUUUAGUUGAUUAAAGAAUUUCGGAAACGGAUAGGCUCGCGUGACAUUAGCUAGAUGGCGGGGUAACGGCCCACCAUGGCGACGAUGUCUAGGGGUUCUGAGAGGAAGGUCCCCCANACUGGAACUGAGACACGGUCCAGACUCCUACGGGAGGCAGCAGUGAGGAAUAUUGGUCAAUGGUCUGACGACUGAACCAGCCAUGCCGCGUGAAGGAACGGCCCUAUGGGUCUUAAACUUCUUUUGUAAGGGAGCAAUAAGUCUCACGUGUGGGAUGAUGAGAGUACCUUACGAAUAAGCAUCGGCUAACUCCGU